rnacentral:rRNA from 1 species
GACGGAGGGUGCAAGCGUUGUUCGGAAUUACUGGGCGUAAAGAGCGCGCAGGCGGUCGUUCAAGUCGCGUGUGAAAGCCCCCGGCUCAACUGGGGAGGGUCACGCGAUACUGAUCGACUCGAAGGCAGGAGAGGGUAGUGGAAUUCCCGGUGUAGUGGUGAAAUGCGUAGAUAUCGGGAGGAACACCAGUGGCGAAGGCGACUACCUGGCCUGUUCUUGACGCUGAGGCGCGAAAGCUAGGGGAGCAAACAGGG